GGGUUGUGAGGUUAAGCGACUAAGCGUACACGGUGGAUGCCCUGGCAGUCAGAGGCGAUGAAGGACGUGCUAAUCUGCGAUAAGCGUCGGUAAGGUGAUAUGAACCGUUAUAACCGGCGAUUUCCGAAUGGGGAAACCCAGUGUGUUUCGACACACUAUCAUUAACUGAAUCCAUAGGUUAAUGAGGCGAACCGGGGGAACUGAAACAUCUAAGUACCCCGAGGAAAAGAAAUCAACCGAGAUUCCCCCAGUAGCGGCGAGCGAACGGGGAGCAGCCCAGAGCCUGAAUCAGUGUGUGUGUUAGUGGAAGCGUCUGGAAAGGCGCGCGAUACAGGGUGACAGCCCCGUACACAAAAAUGCACAUGCUGUGAGCUCGAUGAGUAGGGCGGGACACGUGGUAUCCUGUCUGAAUAUGGGGGGACCAUCCUCCAAGGCUAAAUACUCCUGACUGACCGAUAGUGAACCAGUACCGUGAGGGAAAGGCGAAAAGAACCCCGGCGAGGGGAGUGAAAAAGAACCUGAAACCGUGUACGUACAAGCAGUGGGAGCCUCUUUUAUGGGGUGACUGCGUACCUUUUGUAUAAUGGGUCAGCGACUUAUAUUCUGUAGCAAGGUUAACCGAAUAGGGGAGCCGAAGGGAAACCGAGUCUUAACUGGGCGUUAAGUUGCAGGGUAUAGACCCGAAACCCGGUGAUCUAGCCAUGGGCAGGUUGAAGGUUGGGUAACACUAACUGGAGGACCGAACCGACUAAUGUUGAAAAAUUAGCGGAUGACUUGUGGCUGGGGGUGAAAGGCCAAUCAAACCGGGAGAUAGCUGGUUCUCCCCGAAAGCUAUUUAGGUAGCGCCUCGUGAAUUCAUCUCCGGGGGUAGAGCACUGUUUCGGCAAGGGGGUCAUCCCGACUUACCAACCCGAUGCAAACUGCGAAUACCGGAGAAUGUUAUCACGGGAGACACACGGCGGGUGCUAACGUCCGUCGUGAAGAGGGAAACAACCCAGACCGCCAGCUAAGGUCCCAAAGUCAUGGUUAAGUGGGAAACGAUGUGGGAAGGCCCAGACAGCCAGGAUGUUGGCUUAGAAGCAGCCAUCAUUUAAAGAAAGCGUAAUAGCUCACUGGUCGAGUCGGCCUGCGCGGAAGAUGUAACGGGGCUAAACCAUGCACCGAAGCUGCGGCAGCGACGCUUAUGCGUUGUUGGGUAGGGGAGCGUUCUGUAAGCCUGUGAAGGUGUGCUGUGAGGCAUGCUGGAGGUAUCAGAAGUGCGAAUGCUGACAUAAGUAACGAUAAAGCGGGUGAAAAGCCCGCUCGCCGGAAGACCAAGGGUUCCUGUCCAACGUUAAUCGGGGCAGGGUGAGUCGACCCCUAAGGCGAGGCCGAAAGGCGUAGUCGAUGGGAAACAGGUUAAUAUUCCUGUACUUGGUGUUACUGCGAAGGGGGGACGGAGAAGGCUAUGUUGGCCGGGCGACGGUUGUCCCGGUUUAAGCGUGUAGGCUGGUUUUCCAGGCAAAUCCGGAAAAUCAAGGCUGAGGCGUGAUGACGAGGCACUACGGUGCUGAAGCAACAAAUGCCCUGCUUCCAGGAAAAGCCUCUAAGCAUCAGGUAACAUCAAAUCGUACCCCAAACCGACACAGGUGGUCAGGUAGAGAAUACCAAGGCGCUUGAGAGAACUCGGGUGAAGGAACUAGGCAAAAUGGUGCCGUAACUUCGGGAGAAGGCACGCUGAUAUGUAGGUGAAGUCCCUCGCGGAUGGAGCUGAAAUCAGUCGAAGAUACCAGCUGGCUGCAACUGUUUAUUAAAAACACAGCACUGUGCAAACACGAAAGUGGACGUAUACGGUGUGACGCCUGCCCGGUGCCGGAAGGUUAAUUGAUGGGGUCAGCGCAAGCGAAGCUCUUGAUCGAAGCCCCGGUAAACGGCGGCCGUAACUAUAACGGUCCUAAGGUAGCGAAAUUCCUUGUCGGGUAAGUUCCGACCUGCACGAAUGGCGUAAUGAUGGCCAGGCUGUCUCCACCCGAGACUCAGUGAAAUUGAACUCGCUGUGAAGAUGCAGUGUACCCGCGGCAAGACGGAAAGACCCCGUGAACCUUUACUAUAGCUUGACACUGAACAUUGAGCCUUGAUGUGUAGGAUAGGUGGGAGGCUUAGAAGUGUGGACGCCAGUCUGCAUGGAGCCGACCUUGAAAUACCACCCUUUAAUGUUUGAUGUUCUAACGUUGACCCGUAAUCCGGGUUGCGGACAGUGUCUGGUGGGUAGUUUGACUGGGGCGGUCUCCUCCUAAAGAGUAACGGAGGAGCACGAAGGUUGGCUAAUCCUGGUCGGACAUCAGGAGGUUAGUGCAAUGGCAUAAGCCAGCUUGACUGCGAGCGUGACGGCGCGAGCAGGUGCGAAAGCAGGUCAUAGUGAUCCGGUGGUUCUGAAUGGAAGGGCCAUCGCUCAACGGAUAAAAGGUACUCCGGGGAUAACAGGCUGAUACCGCCCAAGAGUUCAUAUCGACGGCGGUGUUUGGCACCUCGAUGUCGGCUCAUCACAUCCUGGGGCUGAAGUAGGUCCCAAGGGUAUGGCUGUUCGCCAUUUAAAGUGGUACGCGAGCUGGGUUUAGAACGUCGUGAGACAGUUCGGUCCCUAUCUGCCGUGGGCGCUGGAGAACUGAGGGGGGCUGCUCCUAGUACGAGAGGACCGGAGUGGACGCAUCACUGGUGUUCGGGUUGUCAUGCCAAUGGCACUGCCCGGUAGCUAAAUGCGGAAGAGAUAAGUGCUGAAAGCAUCUAAGCACGAAACUUGCCCCGAGAUGAGUUCUCCCUGACUCCUUGAGAGUCCUGAAGGAACGUUGAAGACGACGACGUUGAUAGGCCGGGUGUGUAAGCGCAGCGAUGCGUUGAGCUAACCGGUACUAAUGAACCGUGAGGCUUAACCUUACAACGCCGAAG
rnacentral:rRNA from 1 species